CAGUUUUGGCUUUGAGCCCCAAACGACUAUUAUCGAAUUUUGACUGUUUGAUGCUGAAUAGCAACGAUGUCGAACAUGAGCGGUGGUCUUGGGGAGGUCACAACAUCCAGUGUUUUCAGCACAACAGAAUAUGAUUACUCUGAUGUUGUGUCUUCUCAACCGUGUGAGUAUGGAUACCAUUCAAGACGUUUUCUCCCU